AACGAACGCUGGCGGCAUGCCUAACACAUGCAAGUCGAGCGGAGCGGCGGACGGGGGAGUAAUGACUAGGAAUCUGCCUGGCAGUGGGGGAUAACGUCCGGAAACGGGCGCUAAUAUCGCAUCCUAUCAGCUGAGCCUAGGUCGGUUUGGCUAGUUGGUGGGGUAAGGGCCGACCAGGGCGGUGAGCCGUAACUGGACUGAGAGGAUGAUCAGUCACACGUGAACUGGGACCAGGGCCAGUCUCCUACGGUAGGCGGCAGUGGGGAAUAUUGGACAAUGGGCGAAAGCCUGAUCCAGCCAUGCCGCGUGUGUUAAGGAGGUCUUCGGAGUGUAAAGCACUUUAUGUUGGGAGGCGGUACCAACAGAAUAAGCACCGGCUAACUACGGGCCAGCAGCCGCGGUAAUAC
rnacentral:rRNA from 1 species